CUGGCAUAGCUGGCACAGCGCUACCCAAGCGCACUGGCCCUGACCCACUCGGAUGUGACUGUGAACUUAGUGCGAACUCAAAAGUGCCGUUUUCUCCUAUCGAACUAAUCUCUAUGCCAGUAGCCAUAAUUUAAACACUGUGAUCUCGCGUAACCCACGAAUGUGUAUGUGAUGUGCGCUUUGAAUGUUUAGAAUGUGAACGGAUAGUUACCUGAAUUCUUUAGACGAGUGUUGUGUGCGGACUCCUACCUGGAUGUUGUGUUGUCGGUGUUCCCGGAUUCCCGGGCGUUCCCGGGCCGAGCGCGGGACUCUUGGCGCUCGCCCGUGUCCGUUUUGUUUUAUAUGUUCACUAGUGAAGCACAAACUAGAUUUGUAAAUAUUAGUGUUAUGUGUAAAUUACUUUACGUCGUUAGCGCUCCGUAAGGAUUUAAUGUAAUAUAAACAUCGAAUUCUCUGAUUCUCCAUCUGGGCAUUGUACUGAAGUUUGAAGCCCCCACUAAAUUUAAUAUCAUGCGAAUACAGCCUAGUAAGAUCUUUAUUUAUGAAUACUGCAUUCCACAAAGAAAGCAAGCGUACCUAGAUUUUAAAGCUAAGAUUAAUUAAUAUUAAGCGAGUACUAGCGUAAGUUUAAAGGCGUCAAUGUGAUCAUUACAUGAGUCGUAGCGUGCACAAAUCAUACUCUGUCUCGAUUAUAGUGAUGAAUGACUUAUUAUAUAAACCGUAGAGAGCAUCCUAUAGAGUCGUGGAGUGUGUGGGCAUUGCUGUGCGUGUAUGUCUGGCUUUUAAUGAUAUAUUAAAUCUCAUAGUCCGUAUUCUCACAUACAAGGGAUUAGUGUUUCUCUACUUUCUUAUACUGUGCGUAUGCGUUCCACACACGGUCCGCCACUGAGGCAUGUGUCACAUUAGGCACAUCGUAUUUGACCCAUUCCCAGCUGCUAUUUUCAUGCUUUAACCCUUUCACUGUAUCAGUGGUGAGAAUCUUGUGUGGUAACGUUUUACUAUGAUGUUUAAAAUUUUUCUGGUCACCACAAUUAGAAUCAAUUAAAUCGGGAUGACCACCAUAAUUAUGCCUUUAUACUAGUCAGUUAUUGAUUCUGAAUCCAGAGUCGAGUGUACUAACUUAAAGGACGAUAAGUUUUUGCCCGUAAAAAGUACAAGCAUAGCAUUUAGCUAUCCGGUGGCCAUGUGCUAUAUAAAGGUUAAUCAAAACCCGAUCUAGUUAAUUCUAUGUUACUGUUUACACUUUUAUGUAUAAUGCAUUUAGUCUCCCAGUUCGGGUCUGGGUAUCUGGUGGUAGCCACAAAUACCGAGCAAUAGACAAACAGUACAGACCACAAAGAAGUAAUUUUGUGGUGGUUGCAAAUCGCGCUUCCCUAGUUAUCUAUGGUUUGUGGUUUCCACCGAAUGCCUUCGGGUCCAGCUCAGUUUUGUACCGCCUAGUUGUUGAUAAUAUUACGCGGUAUAUUGUUCGAUACAGUCUUCCAAACGGUUGAUUUGAAUGUUUAGUAGUUAUUGUGUUUGCAUUUACUUCUCAUGGUGGAUGAUGAAAAUGAGGUGUCACAAUGUGGUUUAUUGUUAGAGUGAGAAACGAAGCGUCAUGGAUUGCAUUUCUAUUAGAUGAACAUUUAUUAACACAUUAGUAAACAUACAAAUAUUAUUGUAGUGUAUAACGAUAUUAUUUUCAUGACAUUUUAGUCAGUACGCACGUACCUGUUUCUUAAUUCUUAACUAACAAAUUUCGUAUUAAUAAGCGGGCCUAAAUAUUAGAACGUUUUGAAAAAAGCCAGUGAGUUGAUUUUUAUCAGCAAUGUUCUUUCGAGACAAAACUACUUAAAUACUUUCUCUAAUGUACAAAAUUGUAAUCAGGGAAGAUGUUUCUAAUACUCAAAAAAGAACUAUCUAAAUGAUGAAUGGUCAUGCGACUCAUAAACAUUUAACUGUACUAUUGACCGUAAUUCAUGAUGGAAUUGAUCUAUCGUUCCAUCAUAAGCUGGUGCCGUGUAAGUCUGCCUUUAGAAACUUCUUCCGUGAUUAUAAAAUGUCAUAACUGUUAGUACUGUAGCACAUUAGGUCACUGGCGUCGCUGCUGUAUCACACACAGCUCUCACACAACGUGAAUUUUAAAAGAUCAGUACUUUUUCACUAAAUGCAGUUUUAAGAUCUUUUGAAGCUGUGUGCGAUACGGCAGAACACGAUGGAAUCGAAAAUCGUCUCAGAAAUUGUUAUUUUAAAUUGAAUUCUUGUGGCUCUAAAGAUACCACAGUCGAGUGACAUAAUGUGCGGCAGUACAAAACAAUGAGAAGUGUUAGAAGAGUAAUAAAGCGAUUGUAUGAGUGUAACCCCGAGCAUGCGCGGCGGAGUCACGUGAUCUCAAAGCGCUGCGGACGCAUAGACUGACUGAACGAUUGAUUUAUCCGAGUGUCUAUUCAGUACAUGUUUCCAUGCUUUAGUGUCAGCGAUAAAUAUUCGUAGUUCAUGCCAACCAAAGUAGCUAAGAAGUUCGCAACACGUCUUUAUUACUAUUGGAAUAAGGUUGUGUUAUCAACUUUUUGGCCACUUUGGGUGUCACGAACUAUUUGACGCUGACUAUGCCUAAAAUUACGAAGGUUGAUUUAUGUUAGGCGAUCUAACAUACAAUAUGAAUAAUGCCGUCUUGUAAAUACGAUUUAUGAGAAUCGAUCUAAAAUAGAUAAUUGUACACACGAUUAGUUUAUAUUUUUGUCGCCAACUGCCUACGGUUUGGCGUUAUCGGUGUGCAGAGAGCUUAAGUUUGAACUAAACUCGAGAGUAAUUGAUAAGGAUCUGUAAUAAACUCUAAUAUCAUUCCUUAUCAAACCCCAAGCGGUCGCAGAAGGCUGCGGUAUCAAUUGUUUUUUAUUGUCUCGCACGAUUCGCGGAUAUUUGAAAAGAAAUAAAUGACCUAAUGUCAAUAGAUGAAAAACAUUAUAUUAUUUUCAUGAGAUUUGACUGGUAUACAAAACCAAUUGUCAAAUAUUUUUUUACCUCUCGAUGGAAGUUAGCUACUUUACGUUUUUUAUAUCUCACGCCAAUGCGAGUAUGAGGAUAAAAAUAUAGCUUUUGUCGAAAUCAAAACUAAAAUAUCGAACCGAGAUAGGCUGAAAAAAAUAUAGUGCUAAAUAAUUAAACAUGGUCACGUGUACUGAAUAGAGUAGCAAGUGACGCGAUAACGCGAUAUACGCUUUCAUUAACUAGUGUCCAUACCAGUGGCGACUGGUAUGACACGUGGUCAUUGUAUUUAUAAUGUAUCGAUAUAUAAUAUGAACAUUUGUGUAUUUUUUUGAUGUAACUAAAGCCAAGUUUGAUUUUUCUUAGAAAAGAAUUCGAGACGUUAAAAAAGGAAUAAUAAAGAUAAAUUAUUUCUUAAAAAAAUGAGUUUUAUUUUAAAGUCCUUAAUAGUAAGGUUAAAUUAUUGUCAUGUGCAGAUUAUGCAUGUAAAUUGUGAGGUUGACUAGGAGGUAAAAGAAUUUCAUACAUUGCGUACAAACAAGUAUGGUAACUUACAUUAAAAUUACGCGCAUCAAAAGAAUUUGUGAAAAAAAUUAAAGCUUAAAGUAAAAUAAA